rnacentral:sRNA from 1 species
AUAUUUUCAAAAUCUACUGCUUAAUUGCUUGAACUAUAAAUUAUUCGACACAAAUACAAAAUUUUUCAGAAAUUGAAGUAUUAUGGUUUUUUUUUCUAAAUUGUUGGAUUUUGUUUAAUAUUUUCCAGUCGGCAUUCUUUUAAUUUACAGCUGUACGACAUUUGUACUUUAAUUCGGACCAACUGUUUGCUUUUACAAUAUCAUUGUGCUUCACAUGUUGUGACUUAGGAAAAUAAAAGAUGUUUAUAUAAUC